GACGAACGCUGGCGGCGUGCUUAACACAUGCAAGUCGAACGGAAAGGCCCUGCUUUUGUGGGGUGCUCGAGUGGCGAACGGGUGAGUAACACGUGAGUAACCUGCCCUUGACUUUGGGAUAACUUCAGGAAACUGGGGCUAAUACCGGAUAGGAGCUCCUGCUGCAUGGUGGGGGUUGGAAAGUUUCGGCGGUUGGGGAUGGACUCGCGGCUUAUCAGCUUGUUGGUGGGGUAGUGGCUUACCAAGGCUUUGACGGGUAGCCGGCCUGAGAGGGUGACCGGCCACAUUGGGCCUGAGGUACGGCCCAGACUCCUACGGGAGGCAGCAGCGGGGAAUAUUGCACAAUGGGCGGAAGCCUGAUGCAGCAACGCCGCGUGCGGGAUGACGGCCUUCGGGUUGUAAACCGCUUUCGCCUGUGACGAAGCGUGAGUGACGGUAAUGGGUAAAGAAGCACCGGCUAACUACGUG
rnacentral:rRNA from 1 species